UCUUAUGGAUGAGCAAGGAAAGUGGUUUCCUGAAAAGGAAUCUAUUCCUGGUGAAGAGGUUGAGAA
rnacentral:pre_miRNA from 1 species